GAGUUUGAUCCUGGCUCAGAUUGAACGCUGGCGGCAGGCCUAACACAUGCAAGUCGAGCGGAAACGAGUUAACUGAACCUUCGGGGAACGUUAACGGCGUCGAGCGGCGGACGGGUGAGUAAUGCCUGGGAAAUUGCCCUGAUGUGGGGGAUAACCAUUGGAAACGAUGGCUAAUACCGCAUAAUAGCUUCGGCUCAAAGAGGGGGACCUUCGGGCCUCUCGCGUCAGGAUAUGCCCAGGUGGGAUUAGCUAGUUGGUGAGGUAAUGGCUCACCAAGGCGACGAUCCCUAGCUGGUCUGAGAGGAUGAUCAGCCACACUGGAACUGAGACACGGUCCAGACUCCUACGGGAGGCAGCAGUGGGGAAUAUUGCACAAUGGGCGCAAGCCUGAUGCAGCCAUGCCGCGUGUAUGAAGAAGGCCUUCGGGUUGUAAAGUACUUUCAGCAGUGAGGAAGGUGGAUAUGUUAAUAGCAUAUUCAUUUGACGUUAGCUGCAGAAGAAGCACCGGCUAACUCCGUGCCAGCAGCCGCGGUAAUACGGAGGGUGCGAGCGUUAAUCGGAAUUACUGGGCGUAAAGCGCAUGCAGGUGGUUUGUUAAGUCAAAUGUGAAAGCCCCGGGGC
rnacentral:rRNA from 1 species